GCUGAGGUGGUGGAAUGGCAGACACGCAGGUCUCAGGAGCCUGUCCCCGCAAGGGCGGUAUGGGUUCAAAUCCCAUCCUCAGCA
rnacentral:tRNA from 1 species